GAAGUGGGGGUUUAAGUGGAAGCAGUGAGGGUGGGGGCCCGGCCCAAACUGUGCCACCUUCCACCCCCUGCCCCUGGGAGAAUAGACAUCGCCCACUCGGGCUCACAGUGCCAUCCGGGUGAGGACCUCCAUGGAGAGCUUCUCUUUGCCAAAGAAAAGGAGUUGCAUUAGGUCUGCGAGCAGGCAGGGUGGCCUCUUCCUGGCUCCCCAUCCACCAAGGAAGCUUCAAGUUCCUGGGACACAGGUGGGGAACUCCAGCACCCCUGGAGGAAGGAAGACUGAGGUUGGGGGGUGGCAUCCAGGCCCUGACUCUGGGGCACGGUGGUCUGUGCAACCGAGACCCUGCCUCAGGCUCCAACAGCGCCUGCUCCUUUCCUCAGGUUGCAGUGACCACCAGGGGAGGUGCCGGGCGUGCAGGCUGCCACAGGAGGGGUGGGGAGGUGGGGAGUCUCUGCGGCAGGGUGGUGGGGGCCUAGGCCAGUCAGCUGAGGACGUGUCGGUGCACUCCCGGGAGGGCGGUAUGUGGGUGAGGAUCCCCAUGCAGAGUGGUGCCCACAAACCCCCCUUCCAGAGUCAUCUCUGGUCCACCUUGAAGUCCCCAGGAAAAUGACCUCGUCCUCCGCGGGUGUGAGCCACUAGGCCUGAGAGGAUGCUGGGACGGAGCUUUCAGAGAGGGAGGUGUCAGGAUGGUUUGAGUGUCACCAGGUAUUAAUUAAGCACUUGCUGUGUGCCAGGCACUUUCCCACACAGGAUGGAGCUGGGCCAUCCUCACAGCUCCUGCCCUGGAGACGCUGGCCUUGUGGAGGGAGGCGGGCAGCAGGAGCAGUGCUUUCUGGGCCUCUGUGGCCAGAGCUGGCCCUGCUGCAGCUCACUUCUGCCUGCAGCCCAGACGUCCUCCUGGUCCUCCUGAUGCCCCCGACCUCCAUGGAGGACGAGCAUUUCCAGCCCAGCCCUCCCCGUCUUCACCUCGCACUGCCCUGACACACUGGGAGCCUCCUGAUCCGUGAACCCGCGCUGGCGGGAGUAGCUACUGACCGCUGGGGACCCCUGCCCAGGCUGUUCGCAUGUGGAAAGGAUUCAGGGAGCAGGCGAUGCCCAAAGCGUGGAGACCAGCACUGCUCUCUCCCCAGCGACAGGUGCACGCCCAGAUCACGGAUGUGUCGGGAACAGCUGUGCUCCUGCUGCUCAGCGUCCGUCACUCCAGGCUGGGAGCGGGUCCCCAAGCUUCCGGCUGGGCCUAUCCGUCUCCACUCUCAGUGUGGGGGUGGGGGGCGCCAACAGCACGCAUUUGCUCUCUGCACUUCUCGUCUGAUAAUGGGCAGAGGGUCCUUCUGCAGCCCCAAAACAUCCCUAGGCAGGAGCCCUGGGGCCCCAAGCAGCCAGGGAGGUGAGCACCAAGGACCUCCCAGAGAGCGUCACCUUCCGCCGAGGGAGGCCCAGCCUGGGGGUGGUGUCUGAGACUUGGAAUCAACGCUUCCGUUGGUGGCAGUAAAUCCUGUCCCUAACCCUGCAGUAUAGCUGUGCCGUGUACAGGAGGGUGCUGUCUGACGCCAGACACCUGGACUACAGAUCGCAGCCCGAUUCCUGGUCAUUGCUCCACUGAACCCCAGACCCCAGCCUCAUUCUGGGCCCUCAUCCCCUAGAUCCAGGGACCCCAGCCCCAUUUCAGCCCUUGGGCCCUUGUAGGAUGCGAGGCCCUGGGCCCCAGCCCCCAGCCCAUCCGUGGCCCAGGCACUGGGGGGCUGAGGUCCUCUGAGAAGGGACACAGGGCCUGGGGGGCUGUCUCAGCCCAUCAGCAGGAGAGGACUGACUCCAGAAAAAUCAGCGUUUGUACCCACUCAGGCUGCCAAGACCUGUGUCCGUCCUUCCAAGCUCAACCUUCAGAGUUCAUGAGGCCCCUUGCCCAGAAUGUCCACAGAGUUCAUGAGGCCCCUUGAAUGUCCACAGAGUUCAUGAGGCUCCUUGCCUGGAAUAUCCACGUUUGAAACCUCCCAACACCGAGCCCCAUUUCAAGUAUAACCAGGAGGGAAAAUGGUGCUUGAAAUAAGCAUGCCGCAAAGGAAAACCUGCUUUCUCGAAAUGGGCCCUGGCCGCCCAGGCCCUGACCUCCCCGGCCAGGAUGGAACGUUCCAGAGACCCAUUAGUGCCAAAGGCAAAUGAAAACACACCCUGUGAAAAUG
rnacentral:lncRNA from 1 species